rnacentral:rRNA from 1 species
AGUGAACGCUGGCGGUAGGCCUAACACAUGCAAGUCGAACGGCAGCACAGUAAGAGCUUGCUCUUACGGGUGGCGAGUGGCGGACGGGCGAGGAAUACAUCGGAAUCUACUUUUUCGUGGGGGAUAACGUAGGGAAACUUACGCUAAUACAGCAUACGACCUACGGGUGAAAGCAGGGGAUCUUCGGACCUUGCGCGAUUGAAUGAGCCGAUGUCGGAUUAGCUAGUUGGCGGGGUAAAGGCCCACCAAGGCGACGAUCCGUAGCUGGUCUGAGAGGAUGAUCAGCCACACUGGAACUGAGACACGGUCCAGACUCCUACGGGAGGCAGCAGUGGGGAAUAUUGGACAAUGGGCGCAAGCCUGAUCCAGCCAUACCGCGUGGGUGAAGAAGGCCUUCGGGUUGUAAAGCCCUUUUGUUGGGAAAGAAAAGCAGCAGGUGAAUACCCCGCUGUUCUGACGGUACCCAAAGAAUAAGCACCGGCUAACUUCGUG